UAUUAAAACUUAAUAAAUUUAAAAGUUUUUUUUGUUUGGAGACGCACUAUUUACAUACAAAAUAUCCGUUUCUAUUUUUUGAGUACUUUUAGGGCCUGAAACUUUUUAUCCAAACUGACCUAAACCCAACUGGACGCGACCCGAACCGAAUAUUUAGAAUUAUUCUAUUA
rnacentral:sRNA from 1 species